ACGCUGGCGGCGUGCUUAACACAUGCAAGUCGAACGGAAGGGCCCCUUCCGGGGGUUCUUCGAUGGCCAAAGGGGGAGUAAAAAGGUAGUAACCUUGCCUUGGCCUUGGGAUUACCUUCAGAAAAUUGGGCCUAAUACCGAAUAGAGGCUCUGGCGGAUUGUGGGGGGUGGGAAGGUUUCGCGGGUGGGGGUUGGACUGGCGGCUGUCCGGCUUGUUGGUGGGGUGGUGGCUUACCAAGGCUUUGACGGGUAGCCGGCCUGAGAGGGUGACCGGCCACAUUGGGACUGAGAUACGGCCCAGACUCCUACGGGAGGCAGCAGUGGGGAAUAUUGCACAAUGGGUGGAAGCCUGAUGCAGCAACGCCGUGUGCGGGAUGACGGCCUUCGGGUUGUAAACCGCUUUCGCUCAUGACGAAGCUUUGUGUGACGGUAGUGUGUAAAGAAGCACCGGCUAACUACGUG
rnacentral:rRNA from 1 species